AACGAACGCUGGCGGCAGGCUUAACACAUGCAAGUCGAGCGCCUCGCAAGAGGAGCGGCAGACGGGUGAGUAACGCGUGGGAACCUACCUAUUGGUACGGAACAACUCAGGGAAACUUGAGCUAAUACCGUAUGUGUCCUUCGGGAGAAAGAUUUAUCGCCAAUAGAUGGGCCCGCGUCGGAUUAGCUAGUUGGUGGGGUAAUGGCCUACCAAGGCGACGAUCCGUAGCUGGUCUGAGAGGAUGAUCAGCCACACUGGGACUGAGACACGGCCCAGACUCCUACGGGAGGCAGCAGUGGGGAAUAUUGGACAAUGGGCGCAAGCCUGAUCCAGCCAUGCCGCGUGAGUGAUGAAGGCCUUAGGGUUGUAAAGCUCUUUCAGCUGGGAAGAUAAUGACGGUACCAGCAGAAGAAGCCCCGGCUAACUUCGUGCCAGCCGCCGCAGUAACAC
rnacentral:rRNA from 1 species